rnacentral:lncRNA from 1 species
GUGCGUUUGCUUUCUUGGGGUCUGUCACCUCUAUGGCCCCCCUGCUUCUGUUCACCCUGUCUGUGUGCAUGCCCUUUGCCAGGGGGGGCUUUGUGGCAGCUCCCACUACAGAAGCUGAGAGUAUUUCCCCGCCCCUUGGCUUUGGAUUCCGCCAUAUGUCAUGCUUUGGCCAGUGGAAUGUGGGUAAUUACAAUGUGAUGGAAGGAUGAAGGAGCAUUUGCGUAAUUGGGCAAGCCCUCUUGCACCUACACCAUUGCCUUAGAAGACAGGCUCUGGCCAUCACACAGGACCAAGGAGGAGAAUGACAGAGAUGAAGAGCAGAGUCAUCCUAGCGAAGAUGGCAGAGCUUAGCCCAGCCUAGAUCAGCCCCCACAGCUGUGAAAACUGAAUGAAUGGAUGUUAUUGUUUCGUGGCCCUGAGGGUUUAUGGUUGCUUGUUACAUAGUGAUAGCUGACUGCUACAGUUCUGGGUUUCUAUUGAGUAAGAAGUAAAAAGGGAUGAGCUUAGAAUACAGACAGGACAAGUAAGCUGUUGAGCACAGAUGGCUUUUUAGGCAUCAGUGUUCCACGAAAUGGACAUAUUGCAAAGGGGCUUUGUGGCCCUUGGUGAGUAUCCAAGAUGGCGGUCACCCACCCUAGAACAACAGGUUGUGACAAAGUGGUUAGCAAGGUCCAUCUAGCUGCUAGACUAGAAAUAUAUCUGCAUAUUAAUGUAAUUAUGAAGUUUAUAAUUAGCUCAUCUGACUGUAUGAUUCAUAUACUAAGUUUUGUUCUGAAUACUUACAGAGACAAUUAUAUGGUUUUUUUCUAUGAUUCCUUACAGGAGAAAAAAAAAAAGUCCUGAAACUUCACACAGAAUAAGAACUCAGCAGUGAAUAAAUGAAUGCUAAAAAUAACAACAGCAGGAAAACUGCCUGUCAAAAAAAAAAAAAAGAUAAAACAUUAAAAAAUCCAGAUGAAAAUAAAGUGGAAGCUCUGAGGAAGCUGCCUGCUACAGACCUCGCUGCCGGAUCAAGAAACGGACGCUGGCCUCCGAAGGGCUCAGCACAUGCCUGAGGGGAGCCUCUGGUGCAUCAGGAGGUCAGGCCCAGGUUAUUGCCUGAUGGGAGUAGAUACUCCAGCACGCUGUUUGCACAAGUGAGGCAGUUUCACCAGAUUUCCAGGCGCAGUUCCAGGCUUUCUGGUGGCAUAACUGCUGCCCAGGCGUGGGAUCUCUUACCACACAAGGAUUCCUUCUGGGCAAUGAACAACAGCUAAUCCGAAGAUUCCAGAACUUCCUUUGCAAAGGCCAUCAGUCAAGUCAAGCUUCAAGUGAAUUCAACCAGUGCUUACUGAAAACUGACCCCAGAGUACCAGUGGCCUUCCUUCCUGCGUCUCCUUUACCCAGGCACUGAGCUGGGGAACAGGGAAUCUUCUCUGGUCCUCACAUCACCCUGAGAGGCAGCCGUGGCUCUCCCUGCUGUAUAGACAAAGUAAGUGGGGCUCAGUUCCAAGCUCCUGCCAGCAGGUGCUGGAGAUGGAGAUUGUCUGACUCCAAAGCCAUGCUCCUCCGAUUUCACCCAAGUCCAACCACCUACCACAUGUGCAAGAACACAGAAGCCUCCUGAAAAUCCCAACUCAGCAACACUGACCAGGGCUCAUGAUGUUCCAACCACCUACCACAUGUGCAAGAACACAGAAGCCUCCUGAAAAUCCCAACUCAGCAACACUGACCAGGGCCCAUGAUGUGCCAGGCACACUCACAGGCAGGAGCAACAGAGCAGUGAGCCAAAACCCCCACUCCUGAAGAAGCUCAUGUUUUGAGACGCCCACCCAGUUUCCUCCUCUGCAAAUGAGGCUCAUUGUCCCCACCACAAGCCUGAACCCCAGGGCCUGGCCCAGAGCCAGGCACACAUUCUCAUUCUCACUUGCUGAGUGUUGAGUGUUGAGAUUCGUCCAGUCCAGUGCAGCAUCCUGAGCCAGAACAUAAGCAGCCACACUAUAAGUUACCUUCCUGGGUGUGUGAUGACAGUUAAGAUGCUGGUAACAUCUGUAUUUUGGAUUUUCUCUGCAAGACUUAUUUGGGACAAUACGUUCUUGGAUUGGUACCUGGCUUCUUGAUAGGAUCAUGACCUCAUAGAAUCACUGGUGCGACUCAACUCUGAUGCUUAAUUGAUCCACAAAUGGUUGUCGUGGCUCUGGAGGGACCAAAUGAAUGGGGAGCCUGCCUGGGCUGGUUGCACCGUUGUCCAUUUAGUUUGAAUAUAUAGAGGGCUUCCCGUGGAGGCUAGGAAUCAAGAAGAAUCCUGAUCCGGGUUCAGGGGAAUGAGGCGGGAGUGCUCUGAGGAUGCCGGAGUGGUGAUUAACACAAGGCAGGUGCUGGAGGAGGUGAGCAGUGUCCCCCGCACCAUGCAUUUCCAUGGGGCCUGGCUGAGGUCCUGCCAUGGGGUGUGCUGCAUAGGGCUGGGGCACAAGGGAGAAUGAGACCUCAUCCCUGCCCUUGGGGACAUGGGACUCCCAGGUUUGAGAAAAUUCAACCACACAAAUUAAAACGAUUACGA